AAUGAACGCUGGCGGCAGGCUUAACACAUGCAAGUCGAGCGAGCGGCAGACGGGUGAGUAAUGUCUGGGACACUGCUUGAUGGAGGGGGAUAACUACUGGAACCGGUAGCUAUUACCGCAUACCAUCAGAUGAGCCCAGAUGGGAUUAGCUAGUAGGUGGGGUAAUGGCUCACCUAGGCCACGAUCCCUAGCUGGUCUGAGAGGUUGACCGGCCACACUGGAACUGAGACACGGUCCAGACUCCUACGGGAGGCAGCAGUAGGGAAUAUUGCGCAAUGGGCGAAAGCCUGACGCAGCCAUGCCGCGUGUGUGAAGAAGGCCUUCGGGUCGUAAAGCUCUUUCAGCGGGGAGGCGUUACUCGCAGAAGAAGCCCCGGCUAACUCCGUGCCAGCAGCCGCGGUAAUUC
rnacentral:rRNA from 1 species